AUUUCUGGAGUUGAAAAAUUAGGAGUUAGGCAAAAAAGUGUGAAAGAGUUAAAUUUUUGUAGUUUAUUUUUAAACUUUAACACAAUUUUGUGUUAUGGGAUACUCCCUGCUGUGUUGUAUUUUGGAGUUCAUUCGCUGGUGUUCAGGAACGUGCUUUAACUUCUUACUGGAGUUACAUUUUUUGAAAGUCCACCAUUACACAACUCUGCAGAGCAGCACAUGAGAACUGGAGUUAUGUUCUUCGUUGGGAGAAGCGGUACUUGAUCAGAUGGAGAAACCUGCUGCACUUUUCAAAUAGGCUAACUUACACAAUGAGUCACAAUGCUGAUAAAAGUGCAAUUUGGAGGCAAGACAAAAUAUAUUAAACUGGAAAAAGAUUGUUUCUUGGAUUUUCUCA